GCCCCGAUAGUGUAGUGGAUAUCACGCCCGACUAGUAUUCGGGGAGAUGCGGGUUCGAGUCCUGCUCGGGACA